UACAAUAUUAUUACUUUGGAAAUAAUUUGCACACCAAAUUCCAUUACAAAUGUCUAUUAAUUUUCAGCCCAAAAACUGUUAGAAAGAGAAUUGUAGAAAAACAAGAAAUCGACUUUACAUUCCUAUACAGAUAAUGACAAUAAAGGACAAGAUGUUGAAUAACAGACAAAUUUAAAAAACCCAUCUAAAAUAUACAAUCAAAAGCCAAUAAACAUUAUCGAUCUGCCCUUGAAGAAACUCCAACGUACGCUGGAAGGUUAUCAAAAAAAGAAAUAUUGAAAAAAUCAUAUGACGACUGUAGUAGUGAACAUUAUUCAACUUCAGAUUCUAUAGAUAAGCGUAAUUAUCAUCGUCUGAGCAGGAGUAGUAACUAGUAACAAAAGUAAUAAAUGGAACCAACAAAAUUAACGAUAUUAAAAAUAAUAAGAAAAAGUGGUAACCGUGUUCAUCAAUCCAGUAGAACACUUCCUAUUAGAAAAAAAGAAGAACCUUCAACUCCUAAUGUCAGACUUCGAGAUAUACCAAUUAGAACUACUUGUGAUGAAAAUGAUCAUUAUAUGUCUUAAUAUAAAUCUACUUGGGACAUGCCCACCCAGAUCAAGUAUUGAUGACGAUCCUUCUAAAACACCAAGAUUUACACCAGCGUAUAAGUAUAACAAGUAGGAUAGUAAUCGUGUUUCGGGAGCUACACCUAAUCCUGGAAAAGAAAGCGAUCUAUUGUGGGCUAGUGAAACUGAUCGUGAUGAAUGGGAAGAAGCCCAAAACCAAUUGAAGAAUUCCAAGCUCCUGAAUCUGACCAUUUAC